UUCUUCUAGGGGGAGUUUGCUUUCGUAUAUGUGAUUCAGCUCUUCCGAGGGAACCCGUGACAGUCAUGUGAGAUGUGUUUAAUUUUGUACGGUUUAAUUGUACAUUAGCCACAGGGUCUGCUAGAUGACUCUGCUUUUCCGAGGAAAACUUUUUCAAGGUUUUUUUUUUUUUUUUCUAGGAGACCGAAAAGAGGGAAACAUCAGUGACUAUUGCCUUUGUAAAUAUCCAUGUCGGAAUAGAGAAAUCACAUAGAGUGGCUUUUUGUCCAAAACAGGUGAAUAAAUGACUCUUUUUUUUGUUUGUUUCUUUCAUUCUCAGGAUGAGAUUUACACUGUCAGACUUGUACUCCAGUUUUGUGGUAUUCUACAAUCAAGUCACAACUAGAAUGAACGUUGUCAAUGCCGUUAUAUGAGGCAGAAUCGGAGUGAGGAAGGCAACUCCCGUGAUCUGGUAGACACAGAGGGGUGCCGCCCAGAUCCCCCUUCAAGGAGACUUCCAGAGACUCUAACCUGCGGCCAUCGGUGCUGGGCGUGGUCCCAGAAAGCAGGGGACAAAGUGAGGGUUUGAAAGUGGAUCACACACCACCAGGCUGGCCGUGAGGCCCCCAUCGCUGGUGGCCGUUGGCCACCCGAGAACUGGCAUGAUGGGCACAUGAAUGGAGAGGCCACCGUGACAGAGAUGGAGGCUGAGAAUAUUUCCAAGGGCACAUAAAGGCAGUUCUUGCC